UACGUAGGGGGCAAGCGUUGUCCGGAAUCAUUGGGCGUAAAGCGCGUGUAGGCGGCCCACUAAGUCCGCUCUGAAAGCCCGGGGCUCAACCCCGGGAGGCGGGUGGAUACUGGUGGGCUCGAGUCCGGAAGAGGUCAGUGGAAUUCCCGGUGUAGCGGUGAAAUGCGCAGAUAUCGGGAGGAACACCAAUGGCGAAGGCAGGUCUCUGGGCCACUACUGACGCUGAGAAGCGAAAGCAUGGGGAGCGAACAGG
rnacentral:rRNA from 1 species